rnacentral:rRNA from 1 species
UACGAAGGGGGCUAGCGUUGUUCGGAAUUACUGGGCGUAAAGCGUGCGCAGGCGGUCGUGCAAGUCGCGUGUGAAAGCCCCCGGCUCAACUGGGGAGGGUCACGCGAUACUGCUCGACUCGAAGGCAGGAGAGGGAAGUGGAAUUCCCGGUGUAGUGGUGAAAUGCGUAGAUAUCGGGAGGAACACCAGUGGCGAAGGCGACUUCCUGGCCUGUUCUUGACGCUGAGGCGCGAAAGCUAGGGUAGCAAACGGGG